CGGGACGGGUGAGUAAUGUCUGGGAAACGUGCCUGAUGGAGGGGGAUAACUACUGGAAACGGUAGCUAAUACCGCAUAACGUCGCAAGACCAAAGAGGGGGACCGUUCGGGCCUCUUGCCAUCGGAUGUGCCCAGAUGGGAUUAGCUAGUAGGUGGGGUAACGGCUCACCUAGGCGACGAUCCCUAGCUGGCCUGAGAGGAUGACCAGCCACACUGGAACUGAGACACGGUCCAG
rnacentral:rRNA from 1 species